AACUUUCAGCAAUGGAUCUCUUGGCUCUCGCAUCGAUGAAGAACGCAGCGAAUAGCGAUAUGUAAUGUGAAUUGCAGAUCUACAGUGAAUCAUCGAAUCUUUGAACGCACCUUGCGCUCCUCGGUGUUCCGAGGAGCAUGCCUGUUUGAGCGUCAGUAA
rnacentral:rRNA from 1 species